UGCUGGGGGAUUAGUGGCGAACGGGUGAGUAACACGUGAGUAACCUGCCCUUAACUCUGGGAUAAGCCUGGGAAACUGGGUCUAAUACCGGAUAUGACUCCUCAUCGCAUGGUGGGGGGUGGAAAGCUUUAUUGUGGUUUUGGAUGGACUCGCGGCCUAUCAGCUUGUUGGUGAGGUAAUGGCUCACCAAGGCGACGACGGGUAGCCGGCCUGAGAGGGUGACCGGCCACACUGGGACUGAGACACGGCCCAGACUCCUACGGGAGGCAGCAGUGGGGAAUAUUGCACAAUGGGCGAAAGCCUGAUGCAGCGACGCCGCGUGAGGGAUGACGGCCUUCGGGUUGUAAACCUCUUUCAGUAGGGAAGAAGCGAAAGUGACGGUACCUGCAGAAGAAGCGCCGGCUAACUACGUGCCAGCAGCCGCGGUAAUACGUAGGGCGCAAGCGUUAUCCGGAAUUAUUGGGCGUAAAGAGCUCGUAGGCGGUUUGUCGCGUCUGCCGUGAAAGUCCGGGGCUCAACUCCGGAUCUGCGGUGGGUACGGGCAGACUAGAGUGAUGUAGGGGAGACUGGAAUUCCUGGUGUAGCGGUGAAAUGCGCAGAUAUCAGGAGGAACACCGAUGGCGAAGGCAGGUCUCUGGGCAUUAACUGACGCUGAGGAGCGAAAGCAUGGGGAGCGAACAGGAUUAGAUACCCUGGUAGUCCAUGCCGUAAACGUUGGGCACUAGGUGUGGGGGACAUUCCACGUUUUCCGCGCCGUAGCUAACGCAUUAAGUGCCCCGCCUGGGGAGUACGGCCGCAAGGCUAAAACUCAAAGGAAUUGACGGGGGCCCGCACAAGCGGCGGAGCAUGCGGAUUAAUUCGAUGCAACGCGAAGAACCUUACCAAGGCUUGACAUGAACCGGAAAUACCUGGAAACAGGUGCCCCGCUUGCGGUCGGUUUACAGGUGGUGCAUGGUUGUCGUCAGCUCGUGUCGUGAGAUGUUGGGUUAAGUCCCGCAACGAGCGCAACCCUCGUUCUAUGUUGCCAGCGCGUUAUGGCGGGGACUCAUAGGAGACUGCCGGGGUCAACUCGGAGGAAGGUGGGGACGACGUCAAAUCAUCAUGCCCCUUAUGUCUUGGGCUUCACGCAUGCUACAAUGGCCGGUACAAAGGGUUGCGAUACUGUGAGGUGGAGCUAAUCCCAAAAAGCCGGUCUCAGUUCGGAUUGGGGUCUGCAACUCGACCCCAUGAAGUCGGAGUCGCUAGUAAUCGCAGAUCAGCAACGCUGCGGUGAAUACGUUCCCGGUCCUUGUACACACCGCCCGUCAAGUCACGAAAGUUGGUAACACCCGAAGCCGGUGGCCUAACCCCUUGUGGGAGGGAG
rnacentral:rRNA from 1 species